rnacentral:rRNA from 1 species
UCUUAUGGCCAUACCAGCCUGAGUACUCCUGAUCUCGGAAGCUAAGUAUGGUCGGGCCUGGUUAGUAUUUGGAUGGGAGACCGCUUGGGAAUACCAGGUGCUGUGAGCA